UGGUCAGCAAGAAGUGCCACAGGCAUGGAGCGGGCAUGAUCCCGGGUGGGUCUGGGCUGCCCUCUCGAUGAUUACGGUUCCAGAAACUGCACAAAGCCACGGUUAUGACCACACUCAGACUUAAUUCUGCUGUCAGAAAACCACAGUGUUCAACCUUGAAACUCAUGAAGUAAGAAGAGAGGAAAGGAUCUCUCAGCAGGUACAGAGUGCAUUUCUCUCCCCAGAGGUCUACUUUCAAAGAAGUUCUGAAUGUACAAACACAUAAUGAAAUAUUAAUACUGUUUCUUUUCUGUUAGAAAAGCAGCAGUCCUCAUUCCCGCAUCAAAGAGAAUUUUGAAGGUUCUUCACACAACAAAUGCAUACACCAACAAAGAUUGGAAAAUUCUUGAGAAAGACGAGGGGGAAGAAGAAUUUUAUACACACAUACACACACUGAUAUUUUUAAAAUAGUAAUUCUUGUACAUUUAAACUAAAGGAACCUGACUUUUGAAAAAAGAUCUUGUUUUCAGUUUAAUUUUAGGUUUUUAAAAACAUUAUCCCUUUAAUGUGUGUGCAAUGAAUCCUAUAUCCUUUGAACACAUCAUUCAUAAUACUUAUUUUUUCUAAUGUUAAGAAAACAAAUAUUGAUUUUUAAGCAAUGAAUUUAUAGAAAAUAAAGUUCUUUCU